AUUGAACGCUGGCGGCAUGCUUUACACAUGCAAGUCGAGCGGUAACAGGGUGCUUGCACCGCUGACGAGUGGCGAACGGGUGAGUAAUGCGUCGGAACGUGCCGAGUAGUGGGGGAUAACGCAGCGAAAGUUGUGCUAAUACCGCAUACGUACUGAGGUAGAAAGUGGGGGACCUUCGGGCCUCACGCUAUUCGAGCGGCCGACGUCUGAUUAGCUAGUAGGUGAGGUAAAGGCUCACCUAGGCGACGAUCAGUAGCGGGUCUGAGAGGAUGAUCCGCCACGCUGGGGAUGAGACACGGCCAAGACUCCUACGGGAGGCAGCAGUGGGGAAUUUUGGACAAUGGGCGAAAGCCUGAUCCAGCCAUGCCGCGUGUCUGAAGAAGGCCUUCGGGUUGUAAAGGACUUUUGUCAGGGAGGAAGUCCCUAGCGUUAAUACCGCUGGGGGAUGACAGUACCUGAAGAAUAAGCACCGGCUAACUACGUGCCAGCAGCCGCCGUAA
rnacentral:rRNA from 1 species